UACGGGGGGGGGCAAGCGUUGUUCGGAAUUAUUGGGCGUAAAGAGCUCGUAGGCGGUCUGUCGCGUCUGGUGUGAAAAUCCAGGGCUUAACCCUGGACCUGCAUCGGGUACGGGCAGACUAGAGUGCGGUAGGGGAGAUCGGAAUUCCUGGUGUAGCGGUGAAAUGCGCAGAUAUCAGGAGGAACACCGGUGGCGAAGGCGGAUCUCUGGGCCGUAACUGACGCUGAGGAGCGAAAGCAUGGGGAGCAAACAGG
rnacentral:rRNA from 1 species